rnacentral:rRNA from 1 species
UGGCUCAGGACGAACGCUGGCGGCGUGCCUAAUACAUGCAAGUCGAACGGCUUUUCUAUGGAAGCUUGCUUCCACUGAGAAGAUAGUGGCGAACGGGUGAGGUAACACGUGGGUAACCUGCCCAUAAGAGGGGGGAUAACAUCCGGAAACGGGUGCUAAUACCGCAUAGUUUUCUUGAUCGCAUGAUCGGGAAAGGAAAGACGGCCUUUGUGCUGUCGCUUAUGGAUGGACCCGCGGCGUAUUAGUUAGUUGGUGAGGUAAUGGCUCACCAAGACGAUGAUACGUAGCCGACCUGAGAGGGUGAUCGGCCACAUUGGGACUGAGACACGGCCCAAACUCCUACGGGAGGCAGCAGUAGGGAAUCUUCCGCAAUGGACGAAAGUCUGACGGAGCAACGCCGCGUGAGUGAAGAAAGGUUUUCGGAUCGUAAAACUCUGUUGUCAGAGAAGAACAAGUUGGAGAGUAACUGCUCCAGCCUUGACGGUAUCUGACCAGAAAGCCACGGCUAACUACGUGCCAGCCGCCGC